rnacentral:snRNA from 1 species
AGCUUUGCGCAGCGGUGGCACUGUAGCCAAUGAGGUUUAUCUGAGGUGUGAUUAUCGCUAAUUUUAAAAAAUUGAAUCAUUUGAGAGUAAGUUGCACAAUCUGACCCUUUACCCCUAAA